rnacentral:rRNA from 1 species
AUACGGAGGGUGCAAGCGUUAUCCGGAAUCAUUGGGUUUAAAGGGUCCGUAGGCGGACUAUUAAGUCAGAGGUGAAAUCCCACAGCUCAACUGUGGAACUGCCUUUGAUACUGGUAGUCUUGAGUUAUAUGGAAGUAGGUAGAAUGUGUAGUGUAGCGGUGAAAUGCAUAGAUAUUACACAGAAUACCGAUUGCGAAGGCAGUCUACUACGUAUAUACUGACGCUAAGGGACGAAAGCGUGGGGAGCGAACAGGAUUAGAUACCCCAGUAGUCC